rnacentral:rRNA from 1 species
CUAAGCGCUUACGGCGUGGAGGCAUAGGGAAACCAAGUCUUAAUAGGGCGAAUAUAAUUGGUGGAGGAGGACCCGAAGCCAGACGAGCUUGCCAUGGCCAGGAUGAAGCUUUCAGAAAUGAAAGUGGAGGUCCGAACCCGUUUGUCGUGCAAUUCAUUGGGAUGAGCUGUGGUAAGGAGUGAAAAGCUAAUCGAGUUUGGUAAUAGCUGGUUCUUCCCGAAAUAGUUUUAGGACUAGCCUCUCUGCUCAGUAUUUUGGAGGUAGAGCACUGAAAGGGAUGCUGCGGCUUCGGCUAGGCAUUUCUAUCAAACUCCGAAUGCCAAAAUAUAUACAGAGGGAGUCAGACAGUGGGAGCGAAGUUCCAUUGUCGCGAGGGAAACAGCCCAGAUCGUCAUCUAAGGUCCCUAAAUCUAAACUAAGUGUUAGUAAGGAGGUGAAAUUUCUCAGAUAGCUAGGAGGUUAGCUUAGAAGCAGCUAUCCUUUAAAAAGUGCGUAACAGCUUACUAGUUAAGAGAUUUUGCGCCGAAGAUUCCCGGGACUAAAGUUUAGUACCGAAGAUACGACUUGGUAUUUUUAAUACCAGGGGUAGGGAAGCGUCCUUAUUGCGCUGAAGCUGAACCGUGAGGUUCUGUGGAGCGAUGAGGAGUGAGAAUGUUGGCAUAAGUAACCACAAUUGAAGUGAGAUUCUUCAACACCGUAAAUCCAAGGUUUCCUUGGCAAUGUAGAUCAACCAAGGGUUAGGCGGGCCUUAGGAGAAGCCGAAAGGUUUAUCUGAUGGACAGCCGGUUAAUAUUCCGGCCCUCUAACAUUUUUCUGAAGGGUGACGCGAUUUAGUAGCUUAGGCGGAUUAUUGGAUUUCCGUCGAUCAUUUGAGGGGCAACCCAAGAAUGGGCGCGAAGGUUGUCUUCGGACAAUUUAAGCUAAGUGAGCAAGUCGACAAGAAAAGCCCGCAAGGCUAAGAAUGUUGGAUCCGUACUAAAACCGACACAGGUGGAUGGGCACAAGUGUGCCAAGGUGAACAAGUGAAAGAUCCUGAAGGAACUCGGCAAAAAAGUGAUCGUAACUUAGGAAUAAGAUCUGCCUUUCUUUGCAAGAAGAAAGGCCGCAGCAAGCGUUUCUCUAGCGACUGUUUAUCAAAAACACAGGUCCCUGCUAAUUCGUAAGAGGAAGUAUAGGGGCUGAGGCCUGACCAGUGCCGGAGUGUUAAAAGUGGCGGUUGCUCCGCUCUUGUUUCAUGAGACGAUCCUGAGUUCUUGUAAGUAGUUUGAUUAGUUAAGAUAGUAAUAAUUUAAUGUGUCUUUUUUUUAAAAUAGGUAAGACAUAUUGCGAUAUUAAGGAACUCAGAGAUUGUGUUCGUGGACCGAGAGCGGAGCAGCUGACUGCUCCAAGCCUCCGGUGAACGUCCGCGGUAACUCUGACCGUGUUAAAGUAGCGUAAUCCCUUGUCGGGUAAGUUCCGACCCGCAUGAAAGGCUUAACGACUGGAGAACUGUCUCCAGGAUCUGCUUGGUGAAAUUGCAGUAGAGGUGAAAAUGCCUCUUACCUGUGGCUAGACAAGAAGACCCCGGGAGCUUUACUAUAUCCUGGCAUUGAAUUUUGAUAUUAAUUGCGUAGCGUAGGAGGGAGACUUUGAAGCUAUCUUUUCGGAGAUAGUGGAGUCGCCAAUGAAACACCUCUCUUUUAAUGUUAAGGUUCUAACUUUGUUACCUGAGGAGGGUAGCAGAAGACAGUGCUUGGUUGGUAGUUUAAGUGGGGCGCUUUUCUCCUAAAAAGUAACGGAGAAGCUUAAAGGUUGGCUAGAUCCGGAUGGAAAUCGGAUUGGUCCUGUAAAGGGAUAAGCCAGCUUGACUGCAAGACGGGUAUGUCGCGCAGAUGCGAAAGCAGAACUUAGUGAACCGACCAUGGUUCGUAGGACCGUGGGAGAUCAUCAGAUAAAAGUUACCCCGGGGAUAACAGGCUGGUAGUGCCCAAGAGUCCAUAUCAACGGCACUGUUCGGCACCUUAACAUAUCGGGGUGCAUUAACAGCAAUGUUAUUUUAAAAAAAUUGGCUUAUAACGGUAGACUCCAUAGUGAAAAUCAGCUAUAACAUAAUCAUUAUGGACAAUACCGUGGGAAGUCUAACACAAUUACAAAAAUCAUUGAUUAUAGGUUCGGUUUUAGGUGACGGGCAUAUUAGAAUUAUGCCUGGGCGCAAAGAUGCUUUUUUAGAGAUAAAUCAUUUCCUAAAAGCAAAAGAUUAUGCAGAUUGGAAAUAUUCUGUACUAAAGAAUAUUUGCAAUUCCGAACCUAAGGAAAGAGAAACCAAUGAAGGUAGAAUGGUUUAUUGUUUUUUUACUAAACAAGAUAAAGAAAUUACA